rnacentral:rRNA from 1 species
GAUGAACGCUGGCGGCGUGCCUAAUACAUGCAAGUCGAGCGAACAGAUAAGGCGCUUGCUCCUUUGACGUUAGCGGCGGACGGGUGAGUAACACGUGGGUAACCUACCUAUAAGACUGGGAUAACUUCGGGAAACCGGAGCUAAUACCGGAUAACAUUUGGAACCGCAUGGCUCUAAAGUGAAAGAUGGUUUUGCUAUCUCUUAUAGAUGGACCCCGGCCGUUUUAGCUAGUUGGUAAGGUAACGGCUUACCAAGGCAACGAUACGUAGCCGACCGGAGAGGGGGAUCGGCCACACUGGAACUGAGACACGGUCCAGACGCCUACGGGAGGCAGCAGUAGGGAAUCUUCCGCAAUGGGCGAAAGCCUGACGGAGCAACGCCGCGUGAGUGAUGAAGGGUUUCGGCUCGUAAAACUCUGUUAUUAGGGAAGAACAAACGUGUAAGUAACUGUGCACGUCUUGACGGUACCUAAUCAGAAAGCCACGGCUAACUACGUG